rnacentral:rRNA from 1 species
AGCAGCGUAUAUCAAAGUUUGUUACAGUUAAAAGCUUGUAGUUCACUGUCUAUACUGGUGCUUCUGAAUAACCUUGAAAAAUUAGAGUGCUCAAAACAGGUUAGUGCUUGAAUACAUUAGCAUGGAAUAAUAAAAUGGGACGGUGUGGUUCUAUUUUGUUGGUUUCUAGGAUCACCGUAAUGAUUAAUAGGGAUAGUUGGGGCAUUAUUAUUCAAUUGUCAGAGGAUUUAACUUUUGCGAAAAAGGAUGUUUUCAUUAAUCAGGAACGAAAAUUAGGGAUCGAAGACGAUCAGAUACUGUCGUAGUCUUAACCAUAAACUAUACCGACUAAGGAUCGGACGAUGUUGAUUUUUUAAUGGCUCGUUCGGCGCCUUACGGGAAACCAAAGUGUUUGGGUUCA